ACCACCUCCAGUCUGGCCUAAAGUUCUUGGGGUUCUCCUGUUUCUCCUGGUAGUUGUUCUUGGUGUCGUUGGGGGUCUUUUGUUUCAUUGUCGACACUACUAGUCAGUCCUCCAGGUGGAGGUGGAUUCAGGGGCGGAGUCUGUCCAGCUGUCCUUCAGAACCACAGAGCUGCCUGGAGACACUAGAGUGGAGUGGACGGAUGGAGACUGGAGGAAGGUCCAUGUGUAUGAGAACGGUUCUGACCGUCAUGAAGAACAGAACCAGAUUUAUAGAAACAGAACGAAGAUGAAGAAAAAUCUGAAAACUGGAGACCUCAGUCUGACCCUGAAAUACCCCACAAAUGGAGACACCAACACCUACACCUGUAGAGUCUACGACAAGGAGGAAAGAUACUGAGAGGGAAACAAGUGAUACUCAGAGUGAAAGUCCUCCAGGUGGAGGUGGAUCCUGGGGGGGAGUCUGUCCAGCUGUCCUUCAGAACCACAGAGCUGCCUGGAGACACUAGAGUGGUGUGGUGGGACAGAGACAACAGGAAGGUCCAUGUGUAUCAGAACGGUUCUGACCGUCCUGAAGAACAGAACCAAAAAUUUAUAGAAACAGAACGAAGAUGAAUGAAGACCUGCUGGAAACUGGAGACCUCAGUCUGACCCUGAAAUACCCCACAAAUGGAGACACCAACAUCUACAUCUGUAUAGUCUACGACAAGGAGGGAAAGACAGACAGAAUCCAGGUCCAGGAUGUAACGUCUCCUCUUAUGGCUGAAGAGUCAGUUUGAUCAGGUUGUUGAUCUUUGAUCAUUGAUCAGUGAAGGAUCUGAUGGACGAUGGAUGAAGAGAGGAGGACGCUCUGUCAACUCCUGGUCCUGGU